rnacentral:piRNA from 1 species
UGCUUCAUGGACGUGGUUUNUUACUAUAGC